rnacentral:lncRNA from 1 species
UCGGGCUUGCUAGACGGGCCAACAAAAAGGCGCACGCUAACUGAUGCCCUAACGAUAGCCCUAGGAGCGGAGCAUCAUCCCUCUCCGCCGCUCAGUCCCCCUCCCGUGCUCACUUGCCCCGAUUUCGUUGGAUCUGACCUUCUCAUCUCAUCUGCGGCGGCCAUCUGCCACUUCCUGCUCAUCGUAGCUGUUCCUGCUACCGACGCUGCUGAAAUCUGGCGCCUCCGCCGGCUGCCACUUUUUCGCGAAACACGGCGCGGUGGAAAUCCGAUCUAUCGGAUCAUUGGAUGCUUUUCUCUUUCCGGCUCCUUCCUUCUCGUUUACUUCACGGAUCUGUAUGUUCUUGCUUUGGCGCAGUGCUCGUGGUAGGAUGUAACAACAUCAACUAUAGGUUUUCAUUGGCGGCGAUGUUUCGUUUUUCUGCGCGUUCCCCGCAUUCUUACCUUUAUUUUUGUUUUUUAAUGUCUGAUAUUCGUUGUUUCUUGAUGUUCCUCCGUCCCUUCCCAUGAUCGCAUUAAAUUUUCGAUAAUUUUCGCGUCGGAAAAUGCUUGAGAUGCCCGCCCAAUGAUGGAAAAUCAUAACAGGAGCAGUGUGAUGGUAUUUCUUUCCGAGCCUUCUUGCGGUGCUCCAUCUUCACCAUCCGCCGUCAUUCGUCUUCAUCCACCGCCACCACCACCACCACCACCAGCAUCAUUCCAUUCCGCUCACCAUCGUCUCCAUCGCAUCCCCCACCUGCGGACAGGCUCGGAAAGAAAAACUGUCGUUUACACUGCCAUGAUUAUAUGAAGCUAUGAGAUCUGAGGGCGGCCCAUGAAUCAAGUUGUCGACCUCCGGCAGCAUUUUUCAGAUGUCAAUUCUUCUUCUUUCCGCACCUUCUAAUUUUAGUGCAUAAUUUUGAAUCAGGUUAUUCUUCCGAAUGCUUCCAAGUUGAUCGAAAAUGAUCAGAAUUCUGAAUCAUGUGCAUAAUUUUCCUCUUUUUGCCUAUGAUGUUCAUAUCGAUUCUUCUAUUUUUUCAUUGAGCUGACAUGUUUUAAGAUUUCAGGCGUCAGUAUUUUCUCUAUAGCAAGUCAGAAAAUGGGCGCCGACUCAGACUACCCAAAGCCAAAGUCAGCGCUUUGCCCUGUCAUCCACGUUCAUCCUUCUGAUAAAAGUCAAGAUAAAUACGAGCUUCUUGCAUAUGAUUAACCACUGAUGGGCCGGACCGCCAGGGCCAUUAGCACCUCCAGUCAAUAUCGCUGAAGCUUCUUCCCUUAUUGUAUUGUUCUUCCAGCCCCAAAGUCCACGCCCAAUUGACUGAUAAGUUUACUGACCAGAGCGACUGCGGAGUUACGUUUCCUCCGUCAUGAUGAGCAAAGUUGACUGUGGAGAGAGAGAGAGAGAGAGAUUUUAAUGGGCUUUGUAAGCUCUGAGCUGCCGUAUUUGGGCCAGCGUCCUUUUUUGCCCUUCUGGGAGGCUUGUUGUUUUAUUACAGGCUGGCUUGCCUGACCCGCCCAGGUGGCGCGGCUUAUUUUUGCCACGUGGAAGUGGUCCAAUCUGUCUGUCCGAGCUAAUUCCCCUUUUGACUUGCCCUGAUCCCCACUUUCCGGAGGUCCACCUGCCCGCGGGCGACCGUGGAGGACCCGUCAACGAGUCCGUGUCCCCCGCUUCCCGGCCGAUCCACGCCUCGGACCGGUCAGCCCAUCAAGUUGCGGGCCAAGACCGCGCUUGGCCGGCCUAAAACCGCCGGCCCGGACUCCCCC